rnacentral:sRNA from 1 species
GAGCUGACAGAGAUGGACCAUCGAAAAGCCAGGGUCCUCCCAGCUGGGCACUACUGCCCCUCGCUAGGAAUAUGGUCCUCGCAUGUCGGCAGCGUGAGGUCCUCUGUGCCACCUUCCAUCAGCAGGAACCCAGCCAUGGUGAACGAAGCCAGAGGAAACAGCAGCCUCAACCCCUGCUUGGAGGGCAGUGCCAGCAGUGGCAGUGAGAGCUCCAAAGACAGUUCGAGAUGUUCCACCCCGGGCCUGGACCCCGAGCGGCAUGAGAGACUCCGAGAGAAGAUGAGGCGGCGAUUGGAAUCUGGUGACAAGUGGUUCUCCCUGGAAUUCUUCCCUCCUCGAACUGCUGAGGGAGCUGUCAAUCUCAUCUCAAGGUUUGACCGGAUGGCAGCAGGCGGCCCCCUCUACAUAGAUGUGACCUGGCACCCAGCAGGUGACCCUGGCUCAGACAAGGAGACCUCCUCCAUGAUGAUCGCCAGCACCGCCGUGAACUACUGUGGCCUGGAGACCAUCCUGCACAUGACCUGCUGCCGUCAGCGCCUGGAGGAGAUCACGGGCCAUCUGCACAAAGCUAAGCAGCUGGGCCUGAAGAACAUCAUGGCGCUGCGGGGAGACCCCAUAGGUGACCAGUGGGAAGAGGAGGAGGGAGGCUUCAACUACGCGGUGGACCUGGUGAAGCACAUCCGAAGUGAGUUUGGUGACUACUUUGACAUCUGUGUGGCAGGUUACCCCAAAGGCCACCCCGAAGCAGGGAGCUUUGAGGCUGACCUGAAGCACUUGAAGGAGAAGGUGUCUGCGGGAGCCGAUUUCAUCAUCACACAGCUUUUCUUUGAGGCUGACACAUUCUUCCGCUUUGUGAAGGCAUGCACCGACAUGGGCAUCACUUGCCCCAUCGUCCCCGGCAUCUUUCCCAUCCAGGGCUACCACUCCCUUCGGCAGCUUGUGAAGCUGUCCAAGCUGGAGGUGCCUCAGGAGAUCAAGGACGUGAUUGAGCCAAUCAAAGACAACGAUGCUGCUAUCCGCAACUAUGGCAUCGAGCUGGCCGUGAGCCUGUGCCAGGAGCUUCUGGCCAGUGGCUUGGUGCCAGGCCUCCACUUCUACACCCUCAACCGCGAGAUGGCUACCACAGAGGUGCUGAAGCGCCUGGGGAUGUGGACUGAGGACCCCAGGUGAGGGUGGUGGCCCAGAGAUCCCCAGAGGAGGGUCCAAGAGCAGUCCCGGCUGCAGUGCUGGCUCCCCACGGUGGUACAGACGGAUGUCUGUGCCAUGGCUAGCUGGGCACACUGAAGGCUCUAGUCUCAGAGGGCAUCAGAUGGAAGAACCCAGCCUCAGUGGUGCUCCCCUGCUUCCGGCUCCCUGUAGCCAAUCCCUUGUCUCAAUUCUCUGUCCCCAUCCUCACCCAGGCGUCCCCUGCCCUGGGCUCUCAGCGCCCACCCCAAGCGCCGAGAGGAAGAUGUACGUCCCAUCUUCUGGGCCUCCAGACCAAAGAGUUACAUCUACCGUACCCAGGAGUGGGACGAGUUCCCUAAUGGCCGCUGGGGCAAUUCCUCUUCCCCUGCCUUUGGGGAGCUGAAAGACUACUACCUCUUCUACCUGAAGAGCAAGUCCCCCAAGGAGGAGCUGCUGAAGAUGUGGGGGGAGGAGCUGACCAGUGAAGAAAGUGUCUUUGAAGUCUUUGUUCUUUACCUCUCGGGAGAGCCAAACCGGAAUGGUCACAAAGUGACUUGCCUGCCCUGGAACGAUGAGCCCCUGGCGGCCGAGACCAGCCUGCUGAAGGAGGAGCUGCUGCGGGUGAACCGCCAGGGCAUCCUUACCAUCAACUCACAGCCCAACAUCAACGGGAAGCCAUCCUCCGACCCCAUCGUGGGCUGGGGCCCCAGCGGGGGCUAUGUCUUCCAGAAGGCCUACUUAGAGUUUUUCACUUCCCGCGAGACAGCGGAAGCGCUUCUGCAAGUGCUGAAGAAGUACGAGCUCCGGGUUAAUUACCACCUUGUCAAUGUGAAGGGUGAAAACAUCACCAAUGCCCCUGAACUGCAGCCGAAUGCUGUCACUUGGGGCAUCUUCCCUGGGCGAGAGAUCAUCCAGCCCACCGUAGUGGAUCCCGUCAGCUUCAUGUUCUGGAAGGACGAGGCCUUCGCCCUGUGGAUUGAGCAGUGGGGAAAGCUGUAUGAGGAGGAGUCCCCGUCCCGCACCAUCAUCCAGUACAUCCACGACAACUACUUCCUGGUCAACCUGGUGGACAAUGACUUCCCCCUGGACAACUGCCUCUGGCAGGUGGUGGAAGACACACUGGAGCUUCUCAACAGGCCCACCCAGAAUGCGAGAGAGAUGGAGGCUCCAUGACCCUGCUUCCUGACGCCCUGCGCUGGAGCCACUCCUGUCCCACCUGCCUCCUCCACAGUGCUGCUUCUCUUGGGAACCCCACUCUCCUUCGUGUCUCCCCCACCCCUGGCCUCCA